rnacentral:rRNA from 1 species
UACGUAGGCAGCGAGCGUUGUUCGGAAUUACUGGGCGUAAAGAGUGUGUAGGCGGUGUUCCCAGUCUGUUGUGAAAUCUCCCGGCUUAACUGGGAGGGUGCAGCGGAAACUAGAAUGCUAGAGGGUGGGAGAGGUAAGCGGAAUUCCUGGUGUAGCGGUGAAAUGCGUAGAUAUCGGGAGGAACACCUGUGGCGAAAGCGGCUCACUGGACCAUAACUGACGCUGAUGCACGAAAGCUGGGGGAGCAAACAGG